UGUAUUAAGGUAGAUGGUUUUGGCAUGAACCUCUAAUUUAUACCGGCCACUAUUUAGAAGUUAAAAAAACUUCGUUUAUGAAAGAUAUGAUAUAAUUGGCACAUGUGAAAACAAUUGUUCAUAAAAAAAUAAUAUAUGAAAGAUAUGAUGGCUACUGUUGCUGAUAGCUGUUAAUUGGAGUCAGACAUUGUACACAAAAUCCCACCUUAACCGAUUGAGCAUACUUUCCGGUACAGAAGGUGCAGGAGAAGGGACCAAUUUAAGCAAGAUGAUGGUUUUUAUUACAAAGGCAUGAAAUCUCUAUCAGGCCCUCUCAUCAGUGUUCACAAACCAAUUUAAAAGCUAACCAGUCUUGCUUCUCCAUUUCUGUUGGCUAGUACUUCUAGAAAUUAUCCAUCAACUUGUUAUACUUAGCACCCAAGUUGUAUAUUUGAAAAGGUUACCCAAUCUAUCCAACCUCCCAACUUGGUUUUUACAUUUCUUGGAUUUACCCUUUUGCCCAACAUGGAAUACAUACUGCAGAAAACAGUCUAAACUAUUGUUCAACCUCCAUAUUCUUCAUUUAGCUUCCUUCCUAACUUGGUUUGUGUUAUUUUGGGUUGACCAUGGUGCAGCAGAAAUGAUUCAGUCAAAGUGAGGGAGAGGCCGAGGAGCUACUGCCUCUUAAUGAUCGAAACUCACAACCAGAACCAGUAGGUUGGACUUUGAGAGAUGAAGCUGUCGUGGACUUCGAUGACUCCACUCAACCCCUAGAUGAUGUACAUUCAUCAUUUUUGCCUUCCAAUACUCCUGCAGAUGUGAAUACAAUAGGCGAGGGGGUGUAUCCAAAGGGACAGAGUUUGAGAGGAUGCGAAAUUAUGGCAAGAUGCCACUUGAGAUCAAAGAUGGGAAGAUAGGUCCAUCGUGCAACAAUAGAACAGUCUACACAACAAGAGUGACUUGGAUCGUGAAGCACUAUGCAGAAAUGAGGCAUGCUAGUUGGAGUGUUGUCGACGAAAAUGAGAAAGAGGAGCUUAUUCAUCGUGUUCGAAAAAAUCAUCUUCGGACUGCCACAAGUCAGCUAUCUUGUGCAUAUAAUGUGUUUCAUUACAAGCUACACCUUAAAUACUUGGGUUAUGCAACACAUAAGGAGUCACUAGCUAAUGGAGAGGCGUUGGUAGAGCAACCGGUUUAGGAGUGGUUAUGCACUCGGUGGGGUAGUGAUUCAUU